rnacentral:rRNA from 1 species
ACCCGCUGAACUUAAGCAUAUCAAUAAGCGGAGGAAAAGAAACCAACAGGGAUUGCCCUAGUAACGGCGAGUGAAGCGGCAACAGCUCAAAUUUGAAAUCUGGCUCUUUUAGAGUCCGAGUUGUAAUUUGCAGAGGGCGCUUUGGCGUUGGCAGCGGUCCAAGUUCUUUGGAACAGGACGUCACAGAGGGUGAGAAUCCCGUACGUGGUCGCUAUCCUUCGCCGUGUAAAGCCCCUUCGACGAGUCGAGUUGUUUGGGAAUGCAGCUCUAAAUGGGAGGUAAAUUUCUUCUAAAGCUAAAUAUUGGCCAGAGACCGAUAGCGCACAAGUAGAGUGAUCGAAAGAUGAAAAGCACUUUGGAAAGAGAGUCAAAUAGCACGUGAAAUUGUUGAAAGGGAAGCGCUUGCAGCCAGACUUGCCUGUAGUUGCUUAUCCGAGCUUUUGCUCGGUGCACUCUUCUGCAGGCAGGCCAGCAUCAGUUUGGGCGGUUAGAUAAAGGUCUCUGUCACGUACCUCUCUUCGGGGAGGCCUUAUAGGGGAGACGACAUGUAACCAGCCCAGACUGAGGUCCGCGCAUUUGCUAGGAUGCUGGCGUAAUGGCUGU